UUUAAUAAAAUUGAGAAUGGAAAUGGGGAAUGUGUCAAAGAGACAACAACCCGACCAAAUAAAAAACAACAGCAGAGGGUCACCAACAGGUCUUCAAUGUAGCGAGAAAUUCCCGCACCCGGAGGUGUCCUUCAGCUGGCCCCUAAACAAAUAUAUACUAGUCCAGUGAUAAUGAACGCCAUACUAAUUUCCAAAUUGUACACAAGAAACUAAAAUUAAAAUAAUACAAGACUAACAAAGGCCAGAGGCUCCUGACUUCGGACAGGCGCAAAAAUGCGGCGGGGUUAAACAUGUUUGUGAGAUCUCAACCCUCCCCCUAUACCUCUAACCAAUGUAGAAAAGUAAACGCAUAACAAUACGCACAUUAAAAUUCAGUUCAAGAGAAGUCCGAGUCUGAUGCCAGAAGAUGUAACCAAAGAAAAUAAACAAAAUGACAAUAAUACAUAAAUAACAACAGACUACUAGCAGUUAACUGACAUGCCAGCUCCAGACUUCAAUUAAACUGACUGAAAGAUUAUGAUUUCAUCAUAUGAACAUCAGGCACAAUCCUUCCCGUUAGGGGUUUAGUAUCAUACCAUCAUAACAUAUAUGAGAAGAACAUAACCCGUGUCAUGCCAAC
rnacentral:lncRNA from 1 species